rnacentral:rRNA from 1 species
UACAGAGACUGCAAGCGUUAUUCGGAUUCACUGGGCGUAAAGGGUGCGCAGGCGGCCGAGUGUGUGAGGCGUGAAAGCCCGGGGCUUAACCCCGGAAUUGCACCUCAAACUACACGGCUAGAGCAUUGGAGAGGGUAGCAGAAUUCAUGGUGUAGCAGUGAAAUGCGUAGAUAUCAUGAGGAAUACCAGAGGCGAAGGCGGCUACCUGGACAAUUGCUGACGCUCAGGCACGAAAGCGUGGGGGAGCAAAAAGGG